UCAGAGUGAGAUUAAGCCAUGCGAGUCAACGUAGCAAUACGUGGCACACGGCUCAGUAACACGUAGUCAACAUAACCAAAGGACGUGGAUAAACUCGGGAAACUGAGGCUAAACCGCGAUAGAUCAAGAUACCUGGAAUGGUUUUUGAUCAAAAUCUAUAUGGCCUUUGGAUUGGACUGCGUCCGAUCAGGCUGUUGGUGAGGUAAUGGCCCACCAAACCUGUAACCGGUACGGGCUCUGAGAGGAGGAGCCCGGAGAUGGGUACUGAGAAAAGGACCCAGGCCCUAUGGGGCGCAGCAGGCGCGAAACCUCUGCAAUAGGCGAAAGCCUGACAGGG
rnacentral:rRNA from 1 species